AACGAACGCUGGCGGCGUGCCUAACACAUGCUAGUCGAGCGCGAAAGGAGCGAUCCGAGUAGAGCGGCGCACGGGUGCGUAACACGUGGAUAAUCUGCCUCAGGGUUGAGGAUAACCUUCCGAAAGGUUGGCUAAUACUCGGUAAGCUUACGGUGACUUCGGUCGCUGUGAGAAAACUAGACCUCUAUUUAUAAGUUUAGGCCCAGAGAUGAGUCCGCGGCCCAUCAGCUAGUUGGCGGGGUAACGGCCCACCAAGGCUACGACGGGUAGCUGGUCUGAGAGGACGAUCAGCCACACUGGAACUGAGACACGGUCCAGACUCCUACGGGAGGCAGCAGUGGGGAAUUUUCCACAAUGGGCGAAAGCCUGAUGGAGCAACGCCGCGUGUGUGAUGAAGGUCUUCGGAUCGUAAAGCACUUUCGACUGGGACGAAAAACCUUUGGCUAACAUCCAGGGGCCUGACGGUACCAGAUGAAUAAGCACCGGCUAACUACGUGCCAGCCGCCGCCGUAACAC
rnacentral:rRNA from 1 species